UCUCAGUGAUGUGGUUCCUACAGAUCCUUCUGACCCUGCACUUGGGCUCAGUAGCGGGGAGUGAGGUGGACCGUGCCUGAGACA
ensembl:snoRNA SNORD62 Small nucleolar RNA SNORD62